AAUUCUGUAAAUAGUCCAUGGUAUGUCCCACUGUUCCUUCGAGAACUUCUCUUUGGCUCCUAUGUUUGAAAAUCUGUGUUUUGCUCCAUUUAGCGGAAGCUACUUCAGCAUUCAGAGGACACCAUUCCUCACCAGUGUUUAAGAAGCAGUGCUGGCUAUUGGACAGAGAGUCAGCCCCUAUGCUGCACCCAGAAUAGUUUCAGUGGCAGCCUGUUGCCUUUCACGGAGCCCAACUCCCCGACUUUCAAAGAAGAAUGAGAGCACGGAUGGCUUGAGAAUUACCUGGAGAAUUCUAGAGAGAAGAAGCUCUAAGAUAUAAAGUUGUUUUGUAGGCCAUGAAGAAGCAGGGACUGGUCAAUGGAACUUCUACCCUUAAGACCCAUGGAGGCUAGUGAAAGAAACAAGUACUUAAGUGUUGGAAUUCACUAAUUUACAUUUCAAGCCUAUAGCUGGAUCCAGAGCUGCUUCCUGAUUGAAGGAAUUUCCACAAGCUUUUGAUGCUGGGUCUGCAGAUGACAAAGUUUGGACAUUUUAUUAGGCACUUGAGGAGCCGAGCCUCUUCUUUCACCUAAAUAAAAGGAAUUCCAACCCCUCCAAAGACAGACUUUGCUGGAUCCUGCAGCAAAGACCAGGACUUUCUCAGGAAGCCAUCUUGGAUUUGCUCAAAUGCUCAGAGGGGUGCUGAAGUGGGUUGCACAGAUGGACCAGGGUGGCUGGCUGAGUAAUCAUAACAAGUCAUGCCAUCAGAGUUUGGGAAGAAAGACACCAUCCCUUUUUUAUUGGCAGAGAGUUUCUAACUAAAGAAAUGCAGUCAAUCUUUGUAACAGCUGUCUUAUCCCUUGAUCUCAUUACUCCUUGUUAGCACAAACUAUUUGGGACAGUUAUAGUGAAAGUCCUGAUAAGGAGGAAGUGAUCACUUUCAAACUAAUCUAGUUUGUCUGUCAUGAGAUGAUGAUAAAUAAGGACGGUCUAACUAUUAUGUAAUCAGUAACAUUGAUUUGUAAUUGGAGAUAUAGUUUUAGUUCCUCCUUGACUAUCUCUCCCACUAGCCAGCACACAAACACACACACACACCUGCACACGCACAUGUGCACACACACAGAGAUAUUAACUAAAUUGA